UGCGUAGGCGGCUUUAUAAGUCAGAGGUGAAAGCUUACAGCUUAACUGUGAAACUGCCUUUGAAACUGUAAAGCUUGAAUCACGUUGGGGUCAGCGGAAUGUGGCAUGUAGCGGUGAAAUGCAUAGAUAUGCCAUAGAACACCAAUUGCGAAGGCAGCUGGCUAGGCGUGUAUUGACGCUGAGGCACGAAAGCGUGGGUAGCGAACAGGAUUAGAUACCCUGGUAGUCC
rnacentral:rRNA from 1 species